AGGAACUGUUAAUCAAAGUCUCCGAGUGUGUGUGUGUGUCAGCACUGGCUCAAACUGAAUUUCUCAAGCAGCCUGUGUGUAAAACCCAUGGCAAAUUUAAGUUCACUGGCCUUUAUUGCACACUUGUGUUUUCUUGUUCCUCCAUCACUAAAGAUUGAUUCAAACAUAUAGGUGAUGACAAUGCUUGAGGCUGUCUGUUGUGUCACAUUUUUGUAGUUUUAUGAAAGCCUUAGGUUUUGGUUUUGGUUUUAAUUCUUUGUCCACACCGAUGAGAAAAGUACUUCACCAGAAUGGUAUUUCUCGAGGAAGCCCCACCUAGGACUUAGGGCAUAUAUCUAAUAUAACUAUAUAAACUAUAUAGUGUACUAAGUGGCUUCUGACAUUAAGCUUUGGGGUUAUUGUUACUGUAAAGCCAUUCUGCAGUAGAAACGUAUUAAAGAAUGGUUACUCUGCUAUUUGUGUUACACAUUAUACAGAGGUAAACUAGAUACUUUUAGAGUGCCAUCUUUAGUUAUUCAGUUAACAUAAAUAUUAGAUUGUGUUGAAUAUCUAGGGUCACAACAGUUUUAACACUCCUAGAUAUAUAUCAGAAAUAUGAGAAAAAAUUGUCAGGUGAUACCUAUUUGAAACAUGUUCAAUCUACAUAUUGUGGUGUUGGCAUGGCUUUUAAGCAUUGGGUUGAUCAAGAGAAUAAGGCUUUGCGGUGAAUUAAAGAGUAGCUUAUCAAUUGUUACUUAAUAAAUUGAGAUCUGUAAUUAGCAGGCAGCCUGCAUUAUAACUGGUGUUCCUGCUGUGUAAAACAUAAGGACUAUGUAAUUCAAUACUAAGAGGAUUAUACAAGUAAAUACUAGAUGAAAAAUUAUAAAAGAGGGUUAUACUAUUACAUUCCUGGAGUGCUAGAACCAGGAUAUGAAAUAGAAAGGUCAAAGUAAGAUUGCCUUUAUUUAAUCAACCCUCAUCUGGCUCUAUCUCCCCUCAAAUUUUGUUCAGAAUUUUCUUAAAAGGUUUUCUGUGGUUUUAAUCAGAAUACUAGUAAUUUAAAUUUUUUCCAUGUUAAAGCCAUGGUUGUUUUUUAAUUUGGUUCUUCCAACACAAUUUAUUCAAUUUUACUUAACUUCUACCAGGUCUGGUUUAGGCUUAGCAAAAUGCAGUGUGUUGAAGCAAAACUUAGAAAUGGUGGGAAUUUGCUUACCCUAGGGAACAGGUCAUGUUCAGACUAGAGCACCCAGCACUGCAUGAGUUCAGUUGAUGCUUUUAAAGGCCGUACCUUCUUGGAAGGGAUGAUAAUGCAUGGCCAUAGCCAUGCCAUGAGCUACAGUUACUGAAAACAUCAGGAGCAAGUUGGUUAGGCUGACUUCCCACUAUCUAGCAGGGAACAAAUGCUGUGGUGUCUAAGUGCUGAGGUAGCCUAAAUUAUAUUCUAGCCAAACUAGAGUUUUUCUGACCAUCUUCUGGAGUAGGGAGGGUGUUUUUAAAAAGAUCUCUAUUAAAGUAUACCAGGAGGGACACUAUAUUUAUUAUAUACUUAUGGUUAUUAUAGGGCUAAUAACCAAAAAAAAGAACAUUUUAAAAUUUACUUACUCAAUAUACUGUUAACUGAGAAGGUUUGUACAAUGUUUUUAAUUCCUUAUACAGGUGCUGAAAUAGAAAUUUAAGUAUAUAUGUAACUUUAAAUUUCUUGAUAACCACAUCCUAAAUAAUAAAAAGGGUGAAAUUAGUUUUUGUGUAUUUUUACUUAGCCCAGUAUAUCCAAAGUCAUAUCAGUAUCCCAGCACUUGGGAGACAGUAGGCAGAUCUCUUGUCUGUUUGAGGCCAUCUUGGUUUAUAUGAGUCCCAGGCCAGGCUGAGCUGCACAGUGAGAUUUUACCUAAAAAUAAAGCCUGUGACUGCUUAACUUAAGUUACUUCCUCUUUUGCACCUUAGUGCCUUCAUCUGUAUAGAUUAAGUGAUGGUGUGGUUAAUGGGUUGAGUAGCAAACGCACUAUUAAAUGUAGUUAAAAUGUAGUAAGAAUUUACUAUGUCUCUUUAAAAUUGACAUAAACACACACAUACAUAUAUUUGUCUGUGUUUGUGUGGGUAUAUAUUAUGUUCAAGUGUACUCAGAGGCCAGAAGAGGGGGUUGGAUCCCAUGAAACAGAGUCACAGGUCUUGUGAGUCAUCUCAUAUGGCUGCUGGGAGCCAAACGUGGGUCCUCUGGAGGAACUGAAAGUGUUCUUAACUACUGAGCCAUCCCUUCACCACCCCCUUGCCCCAAAAUACCCACCCCCCCCCCC
rnacentral:lncRNA from 1 species